rnacentral:rRNA from 1 species
AUACGUAGGGGGCGAGCGUUGUCCGGAAUGAUUGGGCGUAAAGGGCGCGUAGGCGGCCCGGUAAGUCUGGAGUGAAAGUCCUGUUUUUAAGAUGGGAAUUGCUUUGGAUACUGUCGGGCUUGAGUGCAGGAGAGGUAAGUGGAAUUCCCAGUGUAGCGGUGAAAUGCGUAGAGAUUGGGAGGAACACCAGUGGCGAAGGCGACUUACUGGACUAUAACUGACGCUGAGGCGCGAAAGUGUGGGGAGCAAACAGGAUUAGAUACCCUGGUAGUCCACACUGUAAACGAUGAAUGCUAGGUGUAGGGGGUAUCGACCCCUUCUGUGCCGCAGUCAACACAAUAAGCAUUCCGCCUGGGGAGUACGGCCGCAAGGUUGAAACUCAAAUGAAUUGACGGGG